rnacentral:rRNA from 1 species
AACGAACGCUGGCGGCAUGCCUAACACAUGCAAGUCGAACGAGACCUUCGGGUCUAGUGGCGCACGGGUGCGUAACGCGUGGGAACCUGCCCUUAGGUUCGCAAUAACUCCCCGAAAGGGGUGCUAAUACCGGAUAAUGUCUUCGGACCAAAGAUUUAUCGCCUUUGGAUGGGCCCGCGUUGGAUUAGCUAGUUGGUAGGGUAAAAGCCUACCAAGGCGACGAUCCAUAGCUGGUCUGAGAGGAUGGUCAGCCACACUGGGACUGAGACACGGCCGAGACUCCUGCGGGAAGGAGCAGUGGGGAAUAUUGGACAAUGGGCGAAGGGCUGAUCCAGCAAUGCCGCGUAAGUGAUGAAGGCCUUAGGGUUGUGAAGCUCUUUUACCCGGGAUGAUAAUGACAGUACCGGGAGAAUAAGCUCCGGCUAACUCCGUG